CACAGCUGAGAGGGGAGCGUCAAGGCGGCGUAGAGCGGAUUACUCUGUGUUUACAUUCCGUUUACCGUCUCUUUUCUGCGUUUACUCCGAUUUUACCACAACAGCGCGCAUCUCCUGCAUCUGACCGCCUGAAGCAGGUUGAAGAGGAGCAGCAGAGUUCGGAGGCUCAUGGGAGCCCCGCACUGGAGGACGAGCAGACUUUCUCACAAUUCUGCUACACGAGAAAACUGGAGAAGACAAGUCCAAACCUCCCAGUUACAAGAAAAAGGUACGGUAAAAACAAUUACUCGGAGGUGUCGAGUCAGCAGUGUUACGGUCACCUGCGGCCCUCCGCCGACCCCC